AAGUCGUAACAAGGUUUCCGUAGGUGAACCUGCGGAAGGAUCAUUAACACGUAUCCAAACGUUAAAACCCCCCCCGUGAACCUUCAUCCUGCUCUUGUAACCCGCGUAGUUCGCAAUCUCUGAUAAAUCAUAGCCCGGAAAGUGAUUCAGAGACCUCUGGCUACGUGCGAACAUUGGAACAGUUACAAUGCAGUCAGUGUCGGAAAGUGUCAUUGAUUGUGCAAGCAUAGCGCUUCUACGAUUCCUGUAGACCGUACACUCGGGCAGGAGCUUUGCCAAAGGGUCCCCGUGCCCUAAUAACCCCACAGUUUAAUGUGAAGCUCAAUGUAAUACAUUGGGUAAAAAAACCGAACAACUGUUAACAAUGGUUAUCUUGGUUCCC
rnacentral:misc_RNA from 1 species